rnacentral:rRNA from 1 species
AGGUCCGAUCAUACUAGUGUUAAUGCACCGGAUCCCAUUAGAACUCCAUAGUUAAGUGCGCUUAGGCUAGAGUAGUAAUGGGAUGGGUGACCUCCCGAGAAGUCCUAGUGUUGCACCCU